GCUGGUCAGUAGUCAUGAGCACUUAGUCUAUUGUAGAAGUGGUAGUUGUUCAUUACCAGCAACAGUUCGUUCCCACUUUUUCACUACUUUGUGACGUAGCCUGAUCCGCGUCAGCGCCAUGAUAGUUGCCUGCUGGUUAGUACUCCUUGCGGCGCUGACUUCCCCUUCCUGUCAGGCCUUCUUCUCGCCUCCUGUUGCUUUGGCUCUCGAAGGAAAAAAGGCCAAGAAGUCUGUGGUAGACGAAGUCUCGUACAAAAGAGACCAACCUCUCAAUUACCCGUUGGUCCUUAUCCACGAUGCUGCAUCCAGUGGCGUUGGUAGACCUCCUAUCCCCUCGCAGCAAGAUGGCGCCAAAAAUGUCCACAAACCGGGAGACUCGGACAAACGCCAGCGUAAUCUUCUACUGAGAUUUGGACGCUCUGUUGACCGCCUGACUCUGUGCAGUGGGUGCAGUAACGCAAGAUCGACUGCACUCAGUGGAGACGUUCGGCAUCUCGAUAAACUUUCAAAGACCGUUGAAUCCCCGCCCACUUUCGUGACUGUAUUAUCUCCAGUCACUGGUACCAAGUCUGUCAACCGGCGAAAACGGGGAUCAUGCCAGUCUAUUCACUGCCUGGAGGGGCUUGCUCGUGAUCCUGCAUCUUGGACUAGACCUUCCUCCAUAAAGGGAAGAAGAAGAUCCGUCCCAGGAACUCCCAAAAGUACAAGAGAAGCAGACGCAAGGAACGUAAAAACUACAGAAGAAAUUGUCCCAGGAGCCUCCAAGACAGCUGUGAAAAUUGAUACAGGACACUUCAGAACUGUAGGAAACGCUGAUACUGAUGAAUACGCCCUGUGACAGUACUGUGAUAACUCACGUUGAGGGCUUCAGAGCAAGUUUCCCUCGUUUGGUACAUGGUAGCAGUUUCUCGAGGCUGGGAAAGGGAAUCUCGGGAGGAUUUUCCUUUCAGAAACGUGACAAGAAGAUGGGUGCUGUUCAUUCCCAAAGCGAGAAGGUGCAUCACUUUAAUUUUAUCAGGUUUGGUUAAGGGGGGGUGGGGGAGUUGGUUGUUUAUAAGUAUUAAUGAUUAUUCUGUACUAUUCUACACCAACAAAGUAAUUCUGACUGUAGUAACUUUUUCAGUCUUGAUGAUUCAACUGAUCAUUUUAUGUGGUUUCCAAGUACUAAGGAUAAUGCCUGUUAUUCUGUGCGUGGGUCAAUGUUAAUUGUAUAGAUUUAUAGACGCACUCGUACAAGAUGCAUACACUUAUGUAUGUGUAUAUAUAUAUAUAUAUAUAUAUAUAUAUAUAUAUAUAUAUAUAGCUUUAAAAAUCACAGUAGAUGCACGUGACUUCAUAAAUAAGCGAAUACCACAGGAAAAUGAUAGUCAGAAAUCCAAGCGCUUUCGUCCUUACUAAGACAUUGUCAAGGAGCUAAUGAAAUACAAUUGGAAAGAAAGGUCUCAGGUACACAACAACGUCAAGAAUACCAGAUGGUUAAUUGUCUAAAGGGUAAAAAUUAAAAGAGAUAAUCCAGGAUUAUCAGAUAUCACACGGUCACAAACCUAAACAGAUUUUACCCUAACCGAAAUUACAAAGUAUCUUUACAGUCCAAAACAUGUAAAAACUGAAUAUAUUAAUUUUGUUACUUAUAUUUAUCUACAACUUUUUUCAUUAUGAAAGCAUCAAGUUUAAAUAAACCAAGACUUAAAUUUAGAACAUUUCUAUUAUUUGACUUAAUGAAACAAGAUUCAAUGAUAUUCCUUUUAACUGUGUCAUUACAUGGGAUUAAGGCUCUUGCUUGACUCCAGUUAAUAGGAUAAUCUAAAUCUCUCAUAUGUACGAAUAAUGCAUUCGAUAUUUGCCCAGUUCUCACAGAAUAUUGUUGCUGUUUAAGACGUUGUGAAAGAGAUUUACCGGUUUGUCCGCAAUAGACUUUAUCACACUGUAAUUUCGGUUAGGGUCAAAUCUGUUUAGGUUUGUGACCGUGUGAUAUCCGAUAUUCCUGGAUUAUCUAUUUU